AAGUGUAUAAGAUAAGCGUUAUAUUUCCAAAUGGAGACAAGUAUGAUGGUGACUGUCCAAGAACAUCUUCUGGAAUCUAUGAGAGAAACGGAAUGGGUAGCCACACCACUCUUAAUGGGAUUGUCUACAUAGGAAGCUGGAAAGAUGACAAGAUGAAUGGUUUUGGAAGACCUGAACAUUUUACAGGAGCAGUAUAUGAAGGACAAUUUAAGGAUAAUAUGUUUCAUGGAUUGGGGACUUACACGUUCCCAACUGGGUCAAAGUGUACUGGAAAUUUCAAUGAAAAUAGGGUGGAAGGUGAAGGGGAAUAUACUGACAUCCAAGGACUGGAAUGGAGUGGUAACUUUCAUUUUUCAGCUGCCCCAGGCCUAAAACUCAAACUCCGCAUAUAGAUGUUCUGCCCUGAAGUUUAAGUGGGUAAUUGAAGCACUAGUUGUAAGAUAAGCAAGGAAAUCUGUUAUUUGAAGUGACUUCAUACACUACCUCUGUAGUGCCAGUUUGCCAAUAAAACCAUCACUCACUCAAAAAAAAAAAAAAG